GCCGCGUGCUCCCGAUGUGUGGCCGUGCGCCCGUGCGUGCGCUCUUCUCCGGCCACGACGGGAGCGAUUCCAUGGGCGGUGCGUGGGUCGGCCCGCUG
rnacentral:sRNA from 1 species